UCGAGAAUUUUUCUCAAUGGGCGAAAGCCUGAAGGAGCGACGCCGCGUGGGGGAUGAAGGGCUUCGGCCUGUAAACCCCUGUCAUUUGCGAACAAACCUUACGACCUAACACGUCGUGAGCUGAUUGUAGCGAAAGAGGAAGGGACGGCUAACUCUGUGCCAGCAGCCGCGGUAAUACAGAGGUCCCAAGCGUUGUUCGGAUUCACUGGGCGUAAAGGGUGCGUAGGUGGCGGGGUAAGUCUGAUGUGAAAUCUCCGAGCUUAACUCGGAAAUGGCAUUGGAUACUACUUUGCUAGAGGAUUGGAGGGGAGACUGGAAUUCUUGGUGUAGCAGUGAAAUGCGUAGAUAUCAAGAGGAACACCAGUGGCGAAAGCGAGUCUCUGGACAAUUCCUGACACUGAGGCACGAAAGCUAGGGGAGCAAACAG
rnacentral:rRNA from 1 species